rnacentral:rRNA from 1 species
GGGAAUCUACCGUGCCCUGCGGAAUAGCUCCGGGAAACUGGAAUUAAUACCGCAUACGCCCUACGGGGGAAAGAUUUAUCGGGGUAUGAUGAGCCCGCGUUGGAUUAGCUAGUUGGUGGGGUAAAGGCCUACCAAGGCGACGAUCCAUAGCUGGUCUGAGAGGAUGAUCAGCCACAUUGGGACUGAGACACGGCCCAAACUCCUACGGGAGGCAGCAGUGGGGAAUAUUGGACAAUGGGCGCAAGCCUGAUCCAGCCAUGCCGCGUGAGUGAUGAAGGCCUUAGGGUUGUAAAGCUCUUUCACCGGAGAAGAUAAUGACGGUAUCCGGAGAAGAAGCCCCGGCUAACUUCGUGCCAGCAGCCGCGGUAAUACGAAGGGGGCCAGCGUUGUUCGGAAUUACUGGGCGUAAAGCGCACGUAGGCGGAUAUUUAAGUCAGGGGUGAAAUCCCAGAGCUCAACUCUGGAACUGCCUUUGAUACUGGGUAUCUUGAGUAUGGAAGAGGUAAGUGGAAUUCCGAGU